rnacentral:rRNA from 1 species
UACGUAGGGGGCAAGCGUUAUCCGGAUUUACUGGGUGUAAAGGGAGCGUAGACGGCAAGGCAAGUCUGAUGUGAAAACCCAGGGCUUAACCCUGGGACUGCAUUGGAAACUGUCUGGCUCGAGUGCCGGAGAGGUAAGCGGAAUUCCUAGUGUAGCGGUGAAAUGCGUAGAUAUUAGGAAGAACACCAGUGGCGAAGGCGGCUUACUGGACGGUAACUGACGUUGAGGCUCGAAAGCGUGGGGAGCAAACAGGAUUAGAAACCCGUGUGGCUGACUGACU